rnacentral:lncRNA from 1 species
CUUCAGGUGACAGAGCUAGAAGAGUGGGAAUUCCUAAGACAUUGUGGCUAAGGCAAUAUCAUCAUAACCUCAAGUUGCUGAACAAGAAACUCUAAGACCUUGUAAUCCAAGAGGAUCUUUCCAGAUGCAUUUAUGUCCAACAUUUUUAUAAUUUAUGGAUGAUUCUGGAUGACUAUGAGAACCCUGCCCUGCUGGAGCUAAACCUGUGCAUUCAGAUGGAGAACUCUCAGGUCCAUCUCCAGCACCACAUCUGCCUGCCUGCCACCAAGCUUCCUGACAUGAUGUCAAUGGACUAAACCUCUGAAACUUCUCGCUGACAGGUAGCUUUCUGCAUCCUUCUGUCCUCCUUGGCACUGAGCCUUUCCCAGACCUUCAAGAGAUGUGAAGAGAAACUCUCUACUCUUUAUGUUGGCGCACUUCGAUCUCCUGUAACCACGUCGUGUAUGUCCACAGUAAUUAUUUUCAUGUAAAAAAAUGCAGAGAACUGUGGCCACCUCAGUUUUUUCUAAAUUCAUUUUCAUCGUAUGCUGAAAGUAUUAUUUUAUUCGUGGCAUGCCCAGUGAAAAUGCUCACGUGAAGAUAUAUAGAUGUGAAUAAACCCCCUGAUGCACACUGCCUUACAAAUACGAGCACUCUGAACUUUGAAAGUCCAUUAAGAUGAUCUCUUAGACCUAUCAAGUAUUUCAUAAAAUUUUAAAAUGCUAAUUCCUUGUUUAAAAAAACCACUCAUUAGAGUCAUAAGAUAAAGAUUUCAUUAAGUUACAAAAUGUAAUGUAAUAGACAUAGAUUUUGAUAGAAAUUUCCUUCCAAACAAGUCAAGUUCGAAGUAAAUACAUGUUAGUUGUAGCAAAUAUACCCUAAUUAUAAUUUUGUCUCUUUGUGUAACAGUCAUAGUUAACAUAAAAAUCAUAUGAUUUCUGUUUCAAAAUGUUUUACAAAACGUAUAACACUGCUAAAUGUAAGGUUUUGAUUGGGGUUGGAUGACAUGAAAAAUAAUAUGUAUAAAUGUCUGCUAAAGGUCUUGGAGUCAUUUCCUUUUCUCAGUGUAAAUGACAGGAAUUGUAAAUCCCAAACGAGAGUAAUGUUCAAGGCCUUGAUAUCUAAAAUCUACCUCGCAUGUGAUUACAUAAAUGUGCACUGCCUGCAUGUGCACCAAACUGGCUUCUGCAUAAGUGUUCUUGUAAACUAAAGCCAUUAAACUGGUA